GCCUGGGUAGCUUAGUCAGUUAAGCAUCUGCCUUCAGCUCAGUUCAUGAUCCCAGUGUUUUGGGUUCUAGUCCCACAUCAGGCU
rnacentral:tRNA from 1 species